rnacentral:misc_RNA from 1 species
AAAAAACGGAAUCAAUAUGGGAUCUGGGAUCGCGACCGCAGGACACAAAUUUGGCCAGACGGUCCAAGAACCUCACCUUGCCGUCGACCCUCUCCCGCAGCGGCGGACCGCGGGAUACGAGCGUCAAGUCCCCUACAGCCAUCAAAGAACAAGGGGUCAGUCCAAUCUUCCCAACCCAACAGGGGCGAAGAGAAGAACGGAAAGAGAGAGGAACGAAGGCAUGGUUGGAUUGAAGAAUGAAAUUGGGGUAACACCAUCGACGACGGUGGCGAACUUGAAGAGGAGGAAGGCGGCAACGGCGGCGAGGACAGAGAAGAAGAGCAGGAGGAGCAUUUCUUGGCCCCGGAGUGGCGACGGCCGAAUCUCUGAGGUCCUUGGAUCGAGGGCGCUAGGCGGGUUGCUUCCUG